GUAGGUGGCAAGCGUUGUCCGGAAUUAUUGGGCGUAAAGCGCGCGCAGGCGGUCCUUUAAGUCUGAUGUGAAAGCCCACGGCUCAACCGUGGAGGGUCAUUGGAAACUGGGGGACUUGAGUACAGAAGAGGAAAGCGGAAUUCCAAGUGUAGCGGUGAAAUGCGUAGAGAUUUGGAGGAACACCAGUGGCGAAGGCGGCUUUCUGGUCUGUAACUGACGCUGAGGCGCGAAAGCGUGGGGAGCAAACAGGGAUUAGAUACCCUGGUAGUCCACGCCGUAAACGAUGAGUGCUAAGUGUUAGGGGGUUUCAGCCCCCUUAGUGCUGCAGCUAACGCAUUAAGCACUCCGCCUGGGGAUACGGCCGCAAGGCUG
rnacentral:rRNA from 1 species